rnacentral:rRNA from 1 species
AUGGCGACCGGCGCACGGGUGAGUAACACGUAUCCAACCUGCCGAUGACUCGGGGAUAGCCUUUCGAAAGAAAGAUUAAUACCCGAUGGCAUAGUUCUUCCGCAUGGUAGAACUAUUAAAGAAUUUCGGUCAUCGAUGGGGAUGCGUUCCAUUAGGUUGUUGGCGGGGUAACGGCCCACCAAGCCUUCGAUGGAUAGGGGUUCUGAGAGGAAGGUCCCCACAUUGGAACUGAGACACGGUCCAAACUCCUACGGGAGGCAGCAUG